rnacentral:sRNA from 1 species
AUUUUAAGUCGUCGAAUAGUUUGAAACCUUUCUGUUUGGAUAUGAAGACUCAUAUGAAAUGCUUUUCAAGCGAGUCUGAGUCGGUGUCAUACAUAAAAUUGGUAUGGUCAAGAAGAUAAUUUGACCAUCCCUCGAAGUUUCCUACCAUAUUGUCUUGAUCAUCAACGCUAGUUGA